GACGAACGCUGGCGGCGUGCUUAACACAUGCAAGUCGAGCGGUAAGGCCCUUUCGGGGGUACGACGAGCGGCGAACGGGUGAGUAACACGUGGGUGACCUGCCCUUACGCUCUGGGAUAAGCCUGGGAAACUGGGUCUAAUACCGGAUAUGACUCCAUGACGCAUGUUGUGGGGUGGGAAAGCCUUGUGCGGCUAGGGAUGGGCCCGCGGCCUAUCAGCUU
rnacentral:rRNA from 1 species